rnacentral:rRNA from 1 species
UACGGAGGGUGCAAGCGUUAAUCGGAAUUACUGGGCGUAAAGCGCACGCAGGUGGCUGAGUCAGUCGAUUGUGAAAGCCCUGGGCUUAACCUGGGAAUUGCAGUCGAUACUACUCAGCUAGAGUAUGGGAGAGGGUAGUGGAAUUCCCGGUGUAGCGGUGAAAUGCGUAGAUAUCGGGAGGAACAUCAGUGGCGAAGGCGGCUACCUGGCCCAAUACUGACGCUGAGGCGCGAAAGCCAGGGGAGCGAACGGG